UGGGAUCUUAGUUCCUGGUCCAGGGAUCAAACUCGGGCCCUCGGCAGUGAAAGCGCGAGUCCUAACCAAGGACUGCCAGGGAAUUCCCUCAAGUGACAGUACAGUCAAAGGUGAUGUCGUUUCUCUAGUGCUUCAAUCAGCCUGGGAAGAGUCUGCUCGUCAUUGAUAUCCAAAAUUUCGCAGGAUGGCAAAGGUGGAAAACUCUGCAAAACCACUUCUGAAACCAGCAGUUCUGUAUUGAGUUAUUAAAAAUAAAAAGUUAGUUACACAGGAAAAAAAGUUACUCAAACAAGUUUUAACACUGUGAUAAGAUCCCCAGUCAACAUUGUACCUUGUUGGGCUGUCAUAAUACGUCCUUAAAAAUGUUAUAAUAAAGAAGGAAAAAUGGAAAAAAAAAGGUAUAUAAUAAAAGAAAUGUCACUUAUACUUUGGUUCAGA